CCCACCACCACCGCCGCCGCCGCCGCCAUCUGCUGUCGCCCUCUAGGGUCGGACCGUUCUAGCUCUCUCCUCUGCGUGGAAUCGCAACGUAGGUCGCCUUGGAUGUCUGGCACCUCUCACUUAGCAGAAGGUUUUGGAGGCUCAGGCUCGGCCACGCUUUGGCCCGGGUCAGUGUUCCGUUCCUCCGGACGGCUUCCUCGUUUUCCACGAGAAGGAGCCGUGAAGACGGAAAGGAAGGGCGGAUGGAUGGCUUUUCCCGUGCUACCGAGUCCCUCUCCCCUUUGUCAAAAAGCGUGAGGGGCGGUCGAGAGGAUCGUCUCUGAUGACAAAAGUCAGAGGCACCCCGGUCAAACACCGUGCGAGGCGUUGGUGUGUUCUCACAACAAGAACAGGUCCCUGUCAGCGUUUCUUCUUGUUAUCAUUCCAAGAGAAUUCACGUGUCACCUUGUCUCCCUAAAGGUCUUACGCUCUCAUGCUCCGCAGUGGUCACAUGCUGUGGAUGGUGUGCACCACCCCUCGCCCCCAGUACACCUGUUUUUAUGGUCAUCUGUGCUCAGAAACUCAAGGUGACAGUUCUCUACCCUAAGGAGCUCCUUUCUCCUAAUACAAAUUUAAUCAUUGUCGCGCAUCGUGAGGUCUAACUCAGAAAUGUCUCUUGCAUCUGUUUUUUCCCAGUCCAGUCGUCCUGCUGCCAUCCCCUGAGUCGGGUCCUCAUGGGAUCACAUUGACCUCAUGUCCUCACCAGUCUUCCCGUUUCUCACCUUCCGCCACCAAUCCGUCCACACUCUGCUUGUCUACACUGACUUCCAAGCUCCUCUAGACAUGGCCUACAACUUUGCUCCUAACCCUUACUGCUCGUGAUCCCCUGAAGACAUCUGUGCUCCUCUCCAGGUGGCCUUCCAGCUACUCCUUACAUAUCUUCCAUGAGAAAUCACUGCAUCACCCUUUGCCCACGCUUUUCUCCCCAUCUAGAGUGACCCUAUCCCAUCACAGAUUUUAAAGUUUAUGUUGCUCACGCUUCCUCUAACAUCUUCGGAAUCUCUCAUGCGUUUGUGGCCUUCUGGUCGUUUACCUCUUUUACUUUCUCUUUUCGUCUUCUUGUAGUAUGAACCAUAUGGUAUCCUCAUGAGGUUAAAAUUCUGAGAUGAUGGGGUCUACAUGACACUUUCAUAUGCUCAUUAUAGUGACUUGUGCCUUGCUGAUGCUGAGUCAAUGUGUGUUGAAGUGUAUUUGCUUGUUUUAAUUUUAUAUGUUCCAGACCUGAAACGCUAUUUCUGAAGUUUAUGGAGUUGCACUUGUUCCUAUUUGUUGAUUAGAAAGACGAAAACAUGGCUGAAGCCAAUAAUCACCAGGUCGCAGUGCUACAGAGCUGGUCCCAGCCUACCACAUUCUGUGUGGUCAUCCAGAUAGAAAGAAUUUAUGAGAACAUUUUCUGCCCUGAUUGUACAAAAUCAGAGAAUCAUAGCUAUUAGCUUUGGAAGGCAUCUGAAGACUCUUCAGUCCUAUAUUCUAGUUGUAAAGACAAGGAAACUGAGGCCCAGGAUAUAGAAAUAUAGAGAGAGCUCGAAAGGAUUUUCAAGAUAAGGAAAGUGAUAAGGAAAGGAUACAGAUAAGGAAAAUGAAGUCCUGACCAAGGAGAUGUAUUAGUUGGAGCACUUUUGAUUGUAUCAUAAGUUCAGCACAAAUUGGUUUAUAAAAUGAAAAAGAAAAGAGGGUGGUUAUUAGCACAAGUAUCCAAGAGUCUAGGUAUAGGUCUAGCUUCAGGCAAGGCUGGAUCCAGGAGUCCAGUCUCUCUUCUCUAUCUCUUUAUUCUGCUUUCCUCUGUGGUGACUGUAUUUCAGAUUUUGAAAUAAAGAGUGUCCCCCAGCCAUUCUUGUCUUAUGCUAUCCUUAUUGCUAGGAGUAUCUGCAAAAAAAAAUAAUUUCCUUUUCUAGCAGUUUCAACAAGAAUCCUGGAAUUGAGUCUCCUUAGGCAGACCUGUGUCAUGUUCCAUCUGGAGCAAAGGGAAGAGGUGAGCCCAUUCCCAUCUCUGAGGAAUGGGGUGGUUUGGGGUGAAGUCAACAUGUAUAGGUUUUCAUUUCAGGGUAGUACUCAGCUGAGGUGGUGACUGAGGACUGAAAUCCUGGGCUCAACUCACCGAGGCAUGACACAUGGGGGCUGCAUCUGCUUGGAUGGGGAACUUUUUCUAAUUUGCCUCGGGGCACUGUGUAUCAUCACCAGCUUGGCUUACUAUCAGAAGAAUGAAUGAAUGCUGGGUAGACCUAAACAAAAAUGUCCACUUCUGGUGGCACUUUUAAAAAAUAUCAUUCUUAAGUUUUACUUUCUUUUUCUUUAUUUCCUCUCUCUAUUUUUAAAUGGGAAGCAGAAUUGUGUUAUAUAAAGCAUAUGGAGAUUUAGACUCAGAACGCCUCGGCUGGAACCUUGGCUCUGCCCCGUGCAAGCUGUGUGAAUUUGGGAAGAGCUUUCAUAUGUCUCAUCCUCAGUUUAUUUACAUGUAAUAACCACGUUUCAGGAAGGUUGGAGGAUUAAAUGACACAUAUAAAAAACCAUCACAGAGCCUGGGACAUAGUAGCAGCUCAAUUCAUGUGAACUAAUAGUGGCAGUGUUUAAGCACGGGCCCCAAGUUUUUUGACGAUCCUCGCAGAGAAAGAGAGGUCUACAACCCUGUCAGGGGAAGUUUGUGACCACAUCAAUUCAUAGGUUCUGGGGAAGUAACAUGACGUGACCUCUGAGCUGAGGUCAAACAAUGUCACGUGGCUUCCUUCUGCAAUGCAGCUUGAACAGCUCCUCAGAAGCUCUUGGGACGCUCUCUCUUUGAAUGAGCCAUCACGUGGCGAGAAGCUUAACCGGCAGGAAGAGACAGACUUGCCUGCAGCCUCUCCAAGGGAGGAAAGUCAGAGAAUUUCAGGGCCAUGCUUUAAAAUGCCCUGUGUUGUGGAAAACAUUACGAUGAACAAGAUUUUUUUGCAGUCCAGUCCCAAGCUACGUGAUCAAGCAUCUAUCACUUAAAUUUUGGGCCUCAUCUUGUUCAUCUGUAAAAUGAGGGAUUGGCGUAGGUGACUUCCAGGACCCUUUACAUUUCUUACAGCUGAC
ensembl:lncRNA